rnacentral:rRNA from 1 species
AGUNUCCGGAAGGUGNGCGUUGGNAACCCUUUGUAGCUUAACUAAAGCAUUUCGCUUACUACGAAAACAUGUCUGUUAAACCCGGACCACUUUGAGCCAAAAACCUAACCCAAAAAACCUACAUAUUCAUCCAACUUUCUAACUAACUUAUUAAAACAUUUUACAGUUAUAGUAAAGGCGAUUGAAACAUCUUUUGGAGUAAUAUUUCUAGUACCGCAAGGGAACAAUGAAAUAAAAAUGAAAUAACUAUCAAGCACCUAGUAGUAGAGACCUCCCCUCGUACCUUUUGCAUCAUGAUUUAACUAGUUUAUCCAAGCAUAAUGCACUAAAGUUUGCUCUCCCGAAACUAAGCGAGCUACUUCGAGGCAGUUCCAGGAACUAACCCAUCUCUGUAGCAAAAGAGUGGGAAGACCUUCAAGUAGAGGUGACAGACCUAACGAGCUUAGUGAUAGCUGGUUACUUGAGAAAAGGAUCUUAGUCCAACCCAACUUUUACAAAAUACACCUAAAUAAAAACUAAAAUUUGGAGUAAUUCAAAUAAGGUACAGCCUAUUUGAAUCAGGAUACAACCUUUAUAAAUGGGUAAUUAAACUUUUAUGUAAUAAAGUAGGCCUAAGAGCAGCCAUCUUCAAAAAGCGUCAAAGCUUAUUCACAAAUCAACUUAAUCCCCCUAAUUUUUAAAAACCCUUAAUCUCUAUUAAGUAACUCUAUAAAAUUAUAGAACCUAUUAUGUUAAAACUAGUAACAAGAAUAAGAACUUCUCUUUAAUGCAAGUGUAAAUCAGGCUGGACAAACCACUGAUUCUUAACACUUUGAAGCCAGAGUAACAACCUACCAAGAAAAUCUUACUUCACUUAAUGUUAACCUGACACAAGAGCAUUCUCAGACAGAUUGAAAGGAAUAGAAGGAACUCGGCAAAUAUUAACCUCGCCUGUUUACCAAAAACAUCGCCUCUUGAUAAUAUAUAAGAGGUCCAGCCUGCCCAGUGACUCUGUUCAACGGCCGCGGUAUCCUAACCGUGCGAAGGUAGCGUAAUCACUUGUUCUUUAAUGAGGACUAGUAUGAAUGGCAUUACGAGGGUUAUACUGUCUCCUUUUC